UCGAAGUCAUAACGACUCUCGGCAAACGGAUAUCUCGGCUCUCGCAUCGAUGAAGAACGUAGCGAAAUGCGAUACUUGGUGUGAAUUGCAGAAUCCCGUGAACCAUCGAGUCUUUGAACGCAAGUUGCGCCCGAGGCCUCACGGCCGAGGGCACGCCUGCCUGGGCGUCACGCA
rnacentral:rRNA from 1 species